UACGUAGGGGGCAAGCGUUGUCCGGAUUUAUUGGGCGUAAAGAGCGUGUAGGCGGCCUUACAGGUCAGCUGUGAAAACUCGAGGCUCAACCUCGAGACGUCGGUUGAAACCGUAUGGCUAGAGUCCGGAAGAGGAGAGUGGAAUUCCCGGUGUAGCGGUGAAAUGCGCAGAUAUUGGGAAGAACACCCGUGGCGAAGGCGGCUCUCUGGGACGGUACUGACGCUGAGACGCGAAAGCGUGGGGAGCGAACAGG
rnacentral:rRNA from 1 species